GACAGAGGGUGCAAACGUUGUUCGGAAUUACUGGGCGUAAAGCGCGUGUAGGCGGCCAAGCAAGUCGGGUGUGAAAGCCCUCGGCUCAACCGAGGAAGUGCACUCGAAACUGCAUGGCUAGAGUCCCGGAGAGGAUAGUGGAAUUCUCGGUGUAGAGGUGAAAUUCGUAGAUAUCGAGAGGAACACCGGUGGCGAAGGCGGCUCACUGGACCGGUACUGACGCUGAUGCGCGAAAGCGUGGGGAGCAAACGGG
rnacentral:rRNA from 1 species